UCAAACUUGGUCAUUUAGAGGAAGUAAAAGUCGUAACAAGGUUUCCGUAGGUGAGUAAAUAUCAAAGUUCUACUUAUAAGAAAUUCUUGUAUACUAACAAUAUUCUAGGUGAACCUGCGGAAGGAUCAUUACCGAGUAAAGAACUUUCAGUUCAAACUCUCGUCCUCUGUAUAACUUGUUAAAAUUCGAGGCUGUACUGAAGGUCAAACUUCAGAACUUAUCCUCGGAUAAUUAUUAAAAUCAUUAUUUUGAAAAUCUGAGAUUAUCUAAAUGAUAUAAAACUUUCAACAACGGAUCUCUUGGUUCUGGCAUCGAUGAAGAACGCAGC
rnacentral:misc_RNA from 1 species